rnacentral:rRNA from 1 species
CUGACCUUACGGAGCGGGGAGCUCCGGGUGGACACUUCAAACUCUUGCGUAACUUUGCAGUCUGAGUAAACUUAAUUAAUAAAUUAAAACUUUUAACAACGGAUCUCUUGGUUCUGGCAUCGAUGAAGAACGCAGCGAAAUGCGAUAAGUAAUGUGAAUUGCAGAAUUCAGUGAAUCAUCGAAUCUUUGAACGCACAUUGCGCCCCCUGGUAUUCCGGGGGGCAUGCCUGUUCGAGCGUCAUUUCACCACUCAAGCCUCGCUUGGUAUUGGGCAACGCGGUCCUGCCGCGUGCCUCAAAUCGACCGGCUGGGUCUUCUGUCCCCUAAGCGUUGUGGAAACUAUUCGCUAAAGGGUGCUCGGGAGGCUACGCCGUAAAACAAACCCAUUUCUAAGGUUGACCUCGGAUCAGGUAGGGAUACCCGCUGAACUUAA